AGAACGAACGCUGGCGGAGUGCUUAAGACAUGCAAGUCGAACGAGAAAGUCGCCUUCGGGUGGCGAGUACAGUGGCGCACGGGUGAGUAACGCGUGGAUAAUCUACCUAUGAGUUUGGGACAACUCCGGGAAACUGGAGCUAAUACCGGAUAAGACCACGACGACUUCGGUCGACGCGGUAAAAGAUGGCCAAUCGUAGAAGCUAUCGCUGAUAGAUGAGUCCGCGUGCCAUUAGCUUGUUGGUGAGGUAAAAGCUCACCAAGGCUACGAUGGUUAGCUGGUCUGAGAGGAUGAUCAGCCACACUGGAACUGAGACACGGUCCAGACUCCUACGGGAGGCAGCAGUCGGGAAUCUUGGGCAAUGGGGGCAACCCUGACCCAGCAACUCCGCGUGAGGGAUGAAGGCCCUAGGGUCGUAAACCUCUGUCGGGAGGGAAGAACGGGCCGUCGGUUAAUACCCGGCGGUUUUGACGGUACCUCCAAAGGAAGCACCGGCUAACUCCGUGCCAGCAGCCGCGGUAAUACGGAGGGUGCAAGCGUUGUUCGGAAUCAUUGGGCGUAAAGCGGGUGUAGGCGGCUAGGUAAGUCGGGUGUGAAAUCCCUGGGCCUAACCCAGGAACUGCAUUCGAAACUACUUGGCUAGAGUCUCGGAGAGGAUGGCGGAAUUCCCGGUGUAGAGGUGAAAUUCGUAGAUAUCGGGAGGAACACCAGUGGCGAAGGCGGCCAUCUGGACGAUGACUGACGCUCAGACCCGAAAGCGUGGGGAGCAAACAGGAUUAGACACCCUGGUAGUCCACGCCGUAAACGUUGGGUGCUCGUCGUAGCGGGUAUUGACCCCUGCUGUGACCAAGCUAACGCAUGAAGCACCCCGCCUGGGAAGUACGGUCGCAAGACUA
rnacentral:rRNA from 1 species